rnacentral:rRNA from 1 species
GAUGAACGCUGGCGGCGUGCCUAAUACGUGCAAGUCGAGCGAAUGGAUUAAGAGCUUGCUCUUAUGAAGUUAGCGGCGGACGGGUGAGUAACACGUGGGUAACCUGCCCAUAAGACUGGGAUAACUCCGGGAAACCGGGGCUAAUACUGGAUAACAUUUUGAACCGCAUGGUUCGAAAUUGAAGGGCGGCUUCGGCUGUCACUUAUGGAUGGACUCGCGGCCUAUCAGCUAGUUGGUGAGGUAACGGCUGACCAAGGCGACGACGGGUAGCCGGCAUGAGAGGGUGACCGGGCACACUGGGACUGAGACACGGCCCAGACUCCUACGGGAGGCAGCAGUGGGGAAUAUUGCACAAUGGACGAAAGUCUGACGGAGCAACGCCGCGUGAGUGAUGAAGGCUUUCGGGUCGUAAAACUCUGUUGUUAGGGAAGAACAAGUGCUAGUUGAAUAAGCUGGCACCUUGACGGUACCUAACCAGAAAGCCACGGCUAACUACGUGCCAGCCGCCGCAGUAA